AGUCGAACGGCAGCACGGGUGCUUGCACCUGGUGGCGAGUGGCGAACGGGUGAGUAAUACAUCGGAACAUGUCCUGUAGUGGGGGAUAGCCCGGCGAAAGCCGGAUUAAUACCGCAUACGAUCUACGGAUGAAAGCGGGGGACCUUCGGGCCUCGCGCUAUAGGGUUGGCCGAUGGCUGAUUAGCUAGUUGGUGGGGUAAAGGCCCACCAAGGCGACGAUCAGUAGCUGGUCUGAGAGGACGACCAGCCACACUGGGACUGAGACACGGCCCAGACUCCUACGGGAGGCAGCAGUGGGGAAUUUUGGACAAUGGGCGAAAGCCUGAUCCAGCAAUGCCGCGUGUGUGAAGAAGGCCUUCGGGUUGUAAAGCACUUUUGUCCGGAAAGAAAUCCUGAGGGCUAAUAUCCUUCGGGGAUGACGGUACCGGAAGAAUAAGCACCGGCUAACUACGUGCCAGCAGCCGCGGUAAUACGUAGGGUGCGAGCGUUAAUCGGAAUUACUGGGCGUAAAGCGUGCGCAGGCGGUUUGUUAAGACCGAUGUGAAAUCCCCGGGCUCAACCUGGGAACUGCAUUGGUGACUGGCAAGCUAGAGUAUGGCAGAGGGGGGUAGAAUUCCACGUGUAGCAGUGAAAUGCGUAGAGAUGUGGAGGAAUACCGAUGGCGAAGGCAGCCCCCUGGGCCAAUACUGACGCUCAUGCACGAAAGCGUGGGGAGCAAACAGGAUUAGAUACCCUGGUAGUCCACGCCCUAAACGAUGUCAACUAGUUGUUGGGGAUUCAUUUCCUUAGUAACGUAGCUAACGCGUGAAGUUGACCGCCUGGGGAGUACGGUCGCAAGAUUAAAACUCAAAGGAAUUGACGGGGACCCGCACAAGCGGUGGAUGAUGUGGAUUAAUUCGAUGCAACGCGAAAAACCUUACCUACCCUUGACAUGGUCGGAACCUUGGAGAGAUCCGAGGGUGCUCGAAAGAGAACCGAUACACAGGUGCUGCAUGGCUGUCGUCAGCUCGUGUC
rnacentral:rRNA from 1 species